GGCCGGCUGGGCCAGAAAGCCUUCUCUGACUGGAGCUCCUGGCUGGCGUCGAGGCCGUGGUCCUCGAGGGCCGCACGAGGGUACCCGGAAACGCUCAGUCCCUUCCCCAGCCCCUUGAGGUGGCAGGUGCGCUGUCACCCCCGAGCCUCGGUCUCCCAUUCGUGGAACCAAGGCGGGCGGGGGUGAGGAGGGUGAGGAUGGAAGUGAGCUUGGACAAGGCGAGCCCAGCCCUCGGCCUCAGAGGCCUUCGCCCCGGGUGGCAGCCCCGCGGGGCCUCUGCCCAGGAGCAGCACUUGGCCCUCUAGAGACCUUCGUGGGGUCGGGCUCCCUCCUGCACGCUGCCUGCGCCCCCUGAAGAGCUGGACCGGUGGCUGUGUGCCCUCCGGCCCGCAUGCCCUGUGCCUGAGCCUGCUUGCCCACAGGCGAGCCCAGAGCCGCCGCUGGGGCUGGGUCCUUCCCGCCUCCGUACCAGCCCUGCCUCUUCGGCCCAGGUCCAAGGCAGCGUCCUAACAACUGCUGGUGAUCAGGCCUGGAGGGGUGUGGGCAGGGUUGUCCCCACACGGCCAAGCAUCUCCAUGCAGGGGUUGGGCGCGGGCCGCCUCCUGUCUGCCAGGACUCCUGGAUCGCCCUGCUCCCCGAUGCCCGUGACAUUACAGGAUCUUCAGUUUGGGCACAGAUGUGUGUGUGAACAAGUCCUGGCCCAGAGUGUGGGCAAUGUGUGGAGGACAGCAGCUAUUCCGGGAGGAAGAAGAUGGGUCCCAAGCCGAGGACGGGGAGCCUCUGCCCCAAGUGCGCCCCCAGACUCAUCGUCACGGGAGAAACAGGCCCCUGCUUCCUUCAUGCUGCUGAUGACACCGUUCCCAGCAGAUAACAACCCCUGUGCGCCUCAGGAUGGAACCAUCACCCUGCCCUGGGCUCCUAGGAGAUCGACUCCGGCGUGAGACUUGUAACAGCCUCCCAAGGUAUUUGACGCCAAGAAGGAGUGGCAGAGAAAAAAGCAAAAGCAAACCCCUCCUCUCAGACCACCCGGAGGCCCUUGUCACCUCCCUGGAGACCACCGACCGCUCCCACAGCCCCAUCCCUGCCGCCGAACUGGAAUCUGCUGUUCUGCUCUCUCCCCUGCCCGCAGCGCUCCAGGCCGGGCCAGGCCCCAGAGCGAAAUAACUGGAAAUCGCUGAAGGUGUCACGUGACUUCUAAAGUAUCACCAUGUGAAGUUCAGUCCCCGUCAUGCUCCCCUCUCAGCCGGCCACCAGCAACCACACGUUGACGGGUCUCAGGAGAACCACGGUUCCAGAUGCCAAGCCCGGGAGCUACAAGAAUGGUUCCACCUUUGAGUAGAACGCAAACAACAUACAAAUGAACACAGAACUGCCUCCGCUCCUUUGGGAGAUCCCAGCCUGGCGCGGGGUGGACUGCUGCCUGCCUCUGUUCAGAAUGCGGGGAGGGGCGAGGCUGUGGGAGGCAGAGGAAGGCAGGCCCCAGACACCAGCUCCAGACUGGGCCCUCAGGGGGAACCGUUCUUGCCAAGUGUCUGCUCCACCAAAUACUAGCGUGUGUUUACAGGCCGCCCCUCACGGCCUCCGGUGCCGGCGUCUGUCCCCCAUGGGCCCCGGCCCCUCCUCUCCUCCCCUCCCUUCCUUCAACUUUCCCCGGCACCUGGGCAGGCCUUGGAUCCCGUCUCCCCCAAUGGCAGUGGAGCUUCGGGACAGACAAACAAGAGGUGACCCCCCAAGCUCCACCCCACAGUCCCACCAGUCCCACAACAGCGACUCCAUAUGCAGAGGGAUUUGGGGACACUAAGACAGCUGGUCACACUCACCUCGGGGAAAGGCAGGAGUCCUCCCCCAGGAUGACAUGGUCCAAAGGGAGGGGGUGUCCCAGACAGAGGACAUAUCCGGAAGGGACUUGGAGAGCAAAGAAGAGCCUGGCUC